UGAGGAGUGACGCUCCGAAGUAUGUAUACGUGGAGCUCCAAGGAGUUAUGCUCCGCACCUCGCGACGCUCCGCACUUCGCUUCGUGACGGUGAACUCCGAACCCGUGAAAGCUGAUGUGGGAACCUCGGCUAACACACCUGGACAGACACACGCCAGCUCCAGCACCCAGUCGCAUCUCCAGUCUCCAGCUGCUGUAUCCUACAACCCUGUACUACGAAGCUGUAGUAAAUUCCACAUUGCUGACGUGUAUUAUUACUCACUACAUGGCGCAGUGAGUAGGAUCAUGGAGACAAGAGGACAGGCGACGGCAGCGCAGACGCUGGACAAGCUGAUGGUGCUAAUCGAAGCUCAACAGUCGCAAGUUAGCGAGGACCGGCGGCUGGUACGGGAACAGAACGCCACCAUACAGCAGUUGAUGUCCCAGGUACUGGUGCCUCGUUCGAAUGAUGCGGCAGAUGGCGACGCCACUACCCCGCAGCCAGCGCCACGACGCCACGUCAGUCGACCACACGCACAACCGCCACACAAGCUCUCUCCUGACUCAUCUCUACGUGAAUUCAAGGUAUGGCGUAGUACGUGGUCCUACUAUGAGGAGCUUCUACAGCUUCAUGACCAGCCUGUGCGGACGCAGGUGGCGCACUUACGUUCGUGCCUCACCCCUGAGAUGCGUGGGACUUUGGCGCACGCUGUCGGGAUUGCAGAGGACGAGAACACCAGUCGAUAACCUCGUCCUCGUCCAUGCACACUUCCAAAGGCAGCGCAACGUGACCUUGCGUCGUGUGUAAGUUCGAGGAACGCCGCCAGGGUACCGAUAGUGACCAGGAAGCAAGACCGUGUGUAAGCAAGGUGCGGUUCUCAUUACCGCAGCGUUGCAGUACACGCCCACGCCGGAGCCUGUAUUGUCUUGUCCCGUAACAAGCCUGGGGAGGGAGGUGUGAGGAGUGGCGCUCCGUGUGUAAGCAAGGUGCGGUUCUCAUUACCGCAGCGUUGCAGUACACGCCCACGCCGGAGCCUGUAUUGUCUUGUCCCGUAACAAGCCUGGGGAGGGAGGUGUGAGGAGUGGCGCUCCGAAGUAUGUAUACGUGGAGCUCUAAGGAGUUAUGCUCCGCACCUCGCGACGCUCCGCACUUCGCUUCGUGACGGUGAACUUCGAACCCGUGAAGCUGAUGUGGGAACCUCGGCUAACACACCUGGACAGAGACACGCCAGCUCCAGCACCCAGUCGCAUCUCCAGUCUCCAGCUGCUGUAUCCUGCAACCCUGUACUACGAAGAUGUAGUAAAUUCCACAUUGCUGACGUGUAUUAUUACUCACCACAGAAAGAUGCAUUUUUUUUCU